rfam:Mesocricetus auratus contig148843, whole genome shotgun sequence.
ACUUUCAUAGGAUAGUAGUAAUCCAUUGGUCUUAGGAACCAAACACUUGGUGCAACUCCAAAUGAAAGUA